CGGGGUAGGAGGUAACGCGUGAGGAACCUGCCUCAAAGAGGGGGACAACAGUUGGAAACGACUGCUAAUACCGCAUAAGCCCACGGCUCGGCAUCGAGCAGAGGGAAAAGGAGUGAUCCGCUUUGAGAUGGCCUCGCGUCCGAUUAGCUAGUUGGUGAGGUAACGGCCCACCAAGGCAACGAUCGGUAGCCGGACUGAGAGGUUGAACGGCCACAUUGGGACUGAGACACGGCCCAG
rnacentral:rRNA from 1 species